UACGGGGGGGGCAAGCGUUGUUCGGAAUUACUGGGCGUAAAGGGCGCGUAGGCGGCCUGCUAAGUCGGAUGUGAAAUCCCUCGGCUCAACCGAGGAACUGCAUCCGAUACUGGCGGGCUUGAAUCCGGGAGAGGGAUGUGGAAUUCCAGGUGUAGCGGUGAAAUGCGUAGAUAUCUGGAGGAACACCGGUGGCGAAGGCGGCAUCCUGGACCGGUAUUGACGCUGAGGCGCGAAAGCUAGGGGAGCAAAGCGGG
rnacentral:rRNA from 1 species